UACGUAGGGUGCGAGCGUUAAUCGGAAUUACUGGGCGUAAAGCGUGCGCAGGCGGUUUUGUAAGCCAGAUGUGAAAUCCCCGGGCUCAACCUGGGAAUGGCAUUUGGGACUGCAAGGCUGGAGUCUGGCAGAGGGGGGGUAGAAUUCCACGUGUAGCAGUGAAAUGCGUAGAGAUGUGGAGGAACACCGAUGGCGAAGGCAGCCCCCCUGGGUCAAGAUUGACGCUCAUGCACGAAAGCGUGGGGAGCAAACAGG
rnacentral:rRNA from 1 species